rnacentral:rRNA from 1 species
CAGCCGCCACGGUAAUACCGGCGGCCCGAGUGGCGGCCACUAUUAUUGGGCUUAAAGCGUCCGUAGCCGGGUUGGUUAGUCUCCCGGGAAAUCUGGCCGCUUAACGGUCAGAAUUCCGGGAGAUACUGCCAGCCUAGGGACCGGGAGAGGCCGAGGGUAUUCCCGGAGUAGGGGUGAAAUCCUAUAAUCCCGGGAGGACCACCUGUGGCGAAGGCGCUCGGCUGGAACGGGUCCGACGGUGAGGGACGAAGGCCAGGGGAGCAAACCGGAUUAGAUACCCGGGUAGUCCUGGCUGUAAACGAUGCGGACUUUGUGUCGGACAAGCUAUGAGCUUGUCCGGUGCCGGAGGGAAACCGUUAAGUCCGCCGCCUGGGGAGUACGGCCGCAAGGCUGAAACUUAAAGGAAUUGGCGGG